rnacentral:rRNA from 1 species
ACUCGCCUGCAUGAAGUCGGAAUUGCUAGUAAUCGCGGACCAGCAUGCCGCGGUGAAUACGUUCUCGGGCCUUGUACACACCGCCCGUCACACCAUGGGAGUCGGUAACACCCGAAGUCUGUAGCCUGACGCAAGAGGGCGCAGCCGAAGGUGGGAUUGAUGACUGGGGUGAAGUCGUAACAAGGUAAC